GAUGAACGCUAGCGAUAGGCCUAACACAUGCAAGUCGAGGGGCAGCACAUGAAGUAGCGAUACGGAUGGUGGCGACCGGCGCACGGGUGAGUAACGCGUAUGCAAUCUACCUACAACAAGGGGAUAACCCGUUGAAAGACGGACUAAUACCCUAUAAUACAGGGGUCCCGCAUGGGAAUAUUUGUUAAAGAUUCAUCGGUUGUAGAUGAGCAUGCGUUCCAUUAGCUAGUUGGUGAGGUAACGGCCCACCAAGGCAACGAUGGAUAGGGGAACUGAGAGGUUUAUCCCCCACACUGGUACUGAGACACGGACCAGACUCCUACGGGAGGCAGCAGUGAGGAAUAUUGGUCAAUGGACGCAAGUCUGAACCAGCCACGUCGCGUGAAGGAAGACGGCCCUAUGGGUUGUAAACUUCUUUUGUAAGGGAAUAAAGUGAGUCACGAGUGGCUUUAUUGCAUGUACCUUACGAAUAAGGAUCGGCUAACUCCGUGCCAGCAGCCGCGGUAAA
rnacentral:rRNA from 1 species